GAUGAACGCUGGCGGCGUGCCUAAUACAUGUAAGUCGAGCGAACAGAUGAGGAGCUUGCUCCUCUGACGUUAGCGGCGGACGGGUGAGUAACACGUGGAUAACCUACCUAUAAGACUGGGAUAACUUCGGGAAACCGGAGCUAAUACCGGAUAAUAUAUUGAACCGCAUGGUUCAAUAGUGAAAGACGGUUUUGCUGUCACUUAUAGAUGGAUCCGCGCCGCAUUAGCUAGUUGGUAAGGUAACGGCUUACCAAGGCAACGAUGCGUAGCCGACCUGAGAGGGUGAUCGGCCACACUGGAACUGAGACACGGUCCAGACUCCUACGGGAGGCAGCAGUAGGGAAUCUUCCGCAAUGGGCGAAAGCUUGACGGAGCAACGCCGCGUGAGUGAUGAAGGUCUUCGGAUCGUAAAACUCUGUUAUUAGGGAAGAACAAAUGUGUAAGUAACUAUGCACGUCUUGACGGUACCUAAUCAGAAAGCCACGGCUAACUACGUG
rnacentral:rRNA from 1 species